GACGAACGCUGGCGGCGUGCUUAACACAUGCAAGUCGAACGGAAAGGCCCUGCUUGCAGGGUACUCGAGUGGCGAACGGGUGAGUAACACGUGGGUGAUCUGCCCUGCACUUCGGGAUAAGCCUGGGAAACUGGGUCUAAUACCGGAUAGGAGCCAUUUUUAGUGUGAUGGUUGGAAAGUUUUUUGGUGUAGGAUGAGCUCGCGGCCUAUCAGCUUGUUGGUGGGGUAAUGGCCUACCAAGGCGGCGACGGGUAGCCGGCCUGAGAGGGUGGACGGCCACAUUGGGACUGAGAUACGGCCCAGACUCCUACGGGAGGCAGCAGUGGGGAAUAUUGCACAAUGGGCGCAAGCCUGAUGCAGCGACGCCGCGUGGGGGAUGACGGCCUUCGGGUUGUAAACUCCUUUCGCUAGGGACGAAGCUUUUUGUGACGGUACCUAGAGAAGAAGCACCGGCUAACUACGUG
rnacentral:rRNA from 1 species